rnacentral:misc_RNA from 1 species
UCUCCGUAGGUGAACCUGCGGAGGGAUCAUUACAGAGAACAUCGCCCGCAAGUGUGACUCUCCAACCCUCUGUUAAAUUCUACCUUUGUUGCUUGGGCGGGCCCCUUCGGCCACUGCCACCGCGCGGCUGGGCGCCCGACAGAGGAUCUCAAACUCUGUAUAUACAUGUCGUCUGAAAACUAUACAAUAGUUAAAACUUUCAACAACGGAUCUCUUGGUUCUG